rnacentral:rRNA from 1 species
GACAGAGGGGGCAAGCGUUGCUCGGAAUCACUGGGCGUAAAGGGCGCGUAGGCGGUUCGUACAGUCAGACGUGAAAUUCCUGGGCUCAACCUGGGGGCUGCGUUUGAUACGUGCGGACUUGAGUGCGGAAGAGGGUCGUGGAAUUCCCAGUGUAGAGGUGAAAUUCGUAGAUAUUGGGAAGAACACCGGUGGCGAAGGCGGCGACCUGGUCCGAUACUGACGCUGAGGCGCGAAAGCGUGGGGAGCAAACAGG